GACCCAGCAGCCGUUCUCUUUACACGCCCCUCCUUUCUCCUUCCUUCACUGCUUCACCUCCUUAAAACACCGCUGUUCUACAAACCCUAACGCAACUCUCCAUUCCCAAAACUUCCGGCCAUGGCGACUGCAACAGCACCACGACAACUCUCGCAGAAGGAGGCCGACAUCCAGAUGAUGUUGGCCGCCGAGGUUCAUCUUGGCA
rnacentral:misc_RNA from 1 species